rnacentral:rRNA from 1 species
ACAUGGCAGGACCGCUGGAGAGAUUCAGCUUUCUCGUAAGAGACCUGCACACAGGUGCUGCAUGCCUGUCGUCAGCUCGUGUCGUGGGAUGUUCGGUUAAGUCCGGCAACGAGCGCAACCCACGUCCCUAGUUGCCAGCAUUCAGUUGGGCACUCUAUGGAAACUGCCGAUGAUAAGUCGGAGGAAGGUGUGGAUGACGUCAAGUCCUCAUGGCCCUUACGGGUUGGGCUACACACGUGCUACAAUGGUGGUGACAGUGGGUUAAUCCCCAAAAGCCAUCUCAGUUCGGAUUGUCCUCUGCAACUCGAGGGCAUGAAGUUGGAAUCGCUAGAAUCGCGGACAGCAUGCCGCGGUG